rnacentral:tRNA from 1 species
UCAUAGCUCAGUUAAAGAACCUGCCUGCAAUGCAGGAGACCCAGGUUUGAUUCCUGGGUUAGGAA